rnacentral:rRNA from 1 species
GAUGAACGCUGGCGGCGUGCCUAAUACAUGCAAGUCGAGCGAACAGACGAGGAGCUUGCUCCUCUGACGUUAGCGGCGGACGGGUGAGUAACACGUGGAUAACCUACCUAUAAGACUGGGAUAACUUCGGGAAACCGGAGCUAAUACCGGAUAAUAUAUUGAACCGCAUGGUUCAAUAGUGAAAGACGGUUUUGCUGUCACUUAUAGAUGGAUCCGCGCCGCAUCAGCUAGUUGGUAAGGUAACGGCUUACCAAGGCAACGAUGCGUAGCCGACCUGAGAGGGUGAUCGGCCACACUGGAACUGAGACACGGUCCAGACUCCUACGGGAGGCAGCAGUAGGGAAUCUUCCGCAAUGGGCGAAAGCCUGACGGAGCAAAGCCGCGUGAGUGAUGAAGGUCUUCGGAUCGUAAAGCUCUGUUAUUAGGGAAGAACAAAUGUGUAAGUAACUAUGCACGUCUUGACGGUACCUAAUCAGAAAGCCACGGCUAACUACGUG